AUCUCUACAACUAUUAAGACUCAUCUGUAGACUGCCCCCGCUCCUUGCCCAACGAAACCCCCGCUCCCGCACGCCCCGCCGACCUCUGCUGCCGCAACGCCGCAGCCGCCGCGAAAUCCGCACCCACCCGCGCGACCUCUACUGCCGCAAGGCCGCAGCCGCCGCGAAAUUUGCACCCACCCGCGCGCCGCAGCCCUUUGUCCGCGCCGGAGCCUAGCACCGAACCGCCGCGGAUUCGCCACUACAUCACCGGCCAUGGCUUCGGGCAUGCCACCCGCGCCCUCGAGGUGGUGAGGCACCUGGUCACCGCAGGGCACGACGUGCACGUGGUCAUCGCCGCGCCCGAGUUCGUCUUCACCACCGAGAUCGCCUCCCCCAGCCUCUCCGACAAGCUCGCGUCCCCGUCCACAUCCGAGAUGCUCGCGCCCGCGCCUUGGAUGGAAGCCCAGAAUCGCCUUCCAUCGAGGAUUCUACACCACGCGUCGCGCCCCCUCCCCGCACGCAAGCCCCCGCCUGCACAUUCUCCGCCACCCCAUCCCCUGUCCGGCGCGUGUGCCACGGCCUCCCUCGACCAGCGGCACGCGUACGCCAUCACCCCCUCCCUACUGCUCCCAUCCGCGGUGCUCACCUUCGCCAUCGCGCAAUCCAUCAAGGUCCUCACCACCUGGUAUAAGGAGAACCGGUGGGACGCGAAGCAGCUGGUGGGCUCCGGUGGGAUGCCGUCCUCGCACUCAGCCACCGUCACAGCGCUCGCUGUCGCCGUCGGCCUGUAAGAGGGGCUCGCCAGCUCGUUGUUCGCCACCGCCGUCGUCUUUGUCUUCGUGGCACAAUAAGCCACUUCAGGCUUCAGUCUGUUCUGUGAUCAGCAGAACAUUAUGGGCUCUAAAGCAGGAGGACUUUUGAGGUAUUUUGAUGCCAAAAUUUUUAGACAUACCAUCAUUGAAGUUGCUCUGAUCUGUACAACAUUUACAAGAUUUACAGAGCUUCAACUAAGUCAACUUGUUGAGUCGCUUGUUACAUAUCUUUUGCAUAUGGGAAAAAAUAAUAGAUAAGGUACUUGGAGUUGGCAAACAAUUGUUUGAUAUACCCUUUUCAUAUGCACUUGUUUUUUGGUUACCAACCUACUAGCUAAUAACAAGUUUUCACUCAUCUCUACCAUUUUUCGGAAUGGCGACGUCUCUUCGCUAUAUGUCAAUCAUAGAGGUAGUGUGAGACACAUAUUGGCAACUGACCAAAUGACUUCAGAUAUUUGGGGUCUCAUCGAUGUUCAAACAGAGAAUGCACAAAGUAGUCAGAAAUGGUAAUUAUAUUGUCAUUGUUGUUGCUGGUAGUGAUGUUACUGUUCUACUAUCACGAAGGAGAAAUUUGAUCCAAUUGGUGGGCCUUUGCCUAAACUUUCACAAGCUGAUUCCAAGCAAUGUGUCUAAAAUCUUUUUCUUGUGUUGGUAACCACCAGAUGCUUGUCAAUUGUCAAACUUAUUUUGGUUGGCUUAUUUUCAAGAUUAAAUGAUCUCUGGUAACUGAGGAGAAUGCUGUAGAUGUUGAUUUUCCUUUUAGGAAGGUGAAGCUCUCCGAUGUGGUAGGGGGAAUGGAAAAUGUGCAUAUAUGCUUCUGAUUGCAGUGAGAUUAGCCUCGUCCAAGUUAUGGGAUCUGCCAUGAACUAGACAAGAUUAUAAGUUUACAGAGGCCUUACAUCAAGAGAGUACAAGAUUGCCAUAAGGAAGUAAAGUCUUUGAGGAAAGUGACCUUAUGAGAAGCUUGAGAAAAUCAACUUGUGUGUGAGAAGUUUUGUCUACUUGUGCUAAUUAGUCAUAUGAUAUUUUUAGUCAUGAACUAGACAAGAUCAGAAGUUUAAAGAGGUUUUAAAUCGAGUACAAGAUCGCCAUAAGGAAGUACAAGUCUUUGAGGAAAGUGACCUUAUGAAAAGUUUGAGCAAAUCAACUUGUGUGCGAGAAGUUUUGUCUACUUGUGCUGAUCAGUCAUACCUUGGAAUAUUGCUGAACUGUUGCCUUUGUUGCUCAUUGGCUUCAAUACUUCAUACACCAUCAAAUGAGUCAUGUGCAAAAUUCUUCGAAGCAUCAGUUCUUGCUCUAGAAGAACUUCAUCAGAGGCGGGGUCGAAUCAGCAACUACGGCUGACAUGACGCUACCCAUCCAGUUGCUCACUGCUCAGGUUAUAGCGAAGAACAUUGUUUUAGCUGGAUACAAGGAGAUGCAGAAGCUCUGAGUUUUGAGGAUGGAUCUAUGGAUGGUUACACUAUCACAUUUGGGAUCAGAAAUGUGACGCACAUUGAGAAAGCUCUAUCAGAAGCUUACAGUUGAUGGUUCUAAAGCAAGGGUGGAGGUUCCUAUGCUUGGAGUUGAGUCAUGUGGAUGUCCCUAUUUUUAAAUAGAUUUAUGAUGCUUACUCGUUUUCUAUGAUUCCGGCUAUUGAAGAGCUGGUUGAUGGUGAUCGGCAGAUAGAAGACGGGCAACAUGCUAACCAGGCAUGUGAACCUUGAACCUUGGCAGGAAAAGUUUGCUCAGAUGAUUCAGGAAGCCGGAUUCCAGAGGGUGGAAUAUGAAAACCUCCUGAGCGGUGUAGUUGCCAUUCAUUCUGGACUGAAACUGUAGAGCUGAAUACGGAUGGAUGUUUUUUCAUGGGUGCACCGCUUCUACAAUUAGUAGUAUUUGUUGUUUUUUAAUGAAUUCUAUAAUAGGUUCGGUGGCUUGUAAAAGCAGCUGGUGCUGGCUGUCAGCAUUAGCACAAUAUGUAGAAUAAGUAGUAUUUGCGAGAAGUAUGUGCUGGAGCAGUAGCGUCAGUGGCUAUUUUGGCUUUUAAGCCAGCUGACCUCUUCCAUUUGUAAAGCUUUUUUCUUGGAAACGUGAAACCAUCCAGAACAUCAAAUUAGUCUUAUCACAUA